AAUGAACUGUUUGAAACAAAAAAAGGUUGUAUUUCAGUGUCUCUGCAGGGGAUUAUAGAGCAACAGCGACACCUGCUGUCGACACGUGGUUUUUGGUAGUGAUGCUACAGUCAAAAAUCAGUAAUAAUUCAAACUUAUCAAAAUAAAAUAUAUAAAAUAAUGGUUUCUAUUUUAAUAUCCUUUAAAAUAUCAUUUAUUUCUGUGAGAAAAAAAAAACAUAAUAAAUCAUUCUGAUCCCAAACUCUGACCAGUGUGUGUGUGUGUGUGUGUGCGUGUGUGUGUGUGUGUCACUUACACACUAAUCCCCACAAUAAUAAAUAUGUUAAAUACUCAUCUGAAGAGGAAACUAUGUUGCAUCAUAAUGAAAGGGUGUGUGACGUACACUUUUCUGUAAACUGAGCCAAACAUUUUCACUGAUUUAGGGUAGAGUAACAAUAUUUACUGUAUUGCGCAAGUUACUUCAUACUUAGAUAUAAUUUUAUAUGCAAUAUUACCUUUUCUUUUCAUCAUCAUCUUUAAGAGUUCAUGAUCAUUUCUGUUCAACUUUAUUUCUCAUUUGAUAAAUCCAUUCACAAUUCAUAAAACACAACACAUGAAACUGAGGUACAAGAAGUAUUGACUUCCAAAAGUAAUUGAAAUCGUUUAAAAAUCAAAUCGACAGGUAAAAAAAAAGCCUCAGGUCCAAAUAUUCAUUUAUCACCAAUGAACUGUUUCCCAAAACCUUCCUGCUCCGAUGUCCAGAUCUGAAUUAAAAAAAUCACAAACAGAUCCGAAGUCCCAAUCUGAAUCAAACGAGUCGCGAAUAGGCUCCGAAGUCCCGAACUGAAUCAAACGAGUCGCGAACAGGCCCCGAAGUCCCGAUCUGAAUCAACCGAGUCGCGAACAGGCUCCGAAGUCCCGAUCGGAAUCAACCGAGUCGCGAACAGGCUCCGAAGUCCCGAUCUGAAUCAACCGAGUCGCGAACAGGCUCCGAAGUCCCGAUCUGAAUCAAACGAGUCGCGAACAGGCUCCGAAGUCCCGAUCUGAAUCAAGCGAGUCGCGAACAGGAUCCGAAGUCCCGAUCUGAAUCAAACGAGUCGCGAACAGGCUCCGAAGUCCCGAUCUGAAUCAAACGAGUCGCGAACAGGCUCCGAAGUGCCGAUCUGAAUCAAACGAGUCACGAACAGGCUCCGAAGUCCCGAUCUGAAUCAAACGAGUCGCGAACAGGCUCCGAAGUGCCGAUCUGAAUCAAACGAGUCACGAACAGGCUCCGAAGUGGCGAUCUGAUAACUUCAACCAA